rnacentral:misc_RNA from 1 species
AGCAGCCGCGGUAAUUCCAGCUCCAAUAGCGUAUAUUAAAGUUGUUGCAGUUAAAAAGCUCGUAGUUGAACUUCAGGCCUGUCCAGAUGGUCCGCCUUAAUUGGUGUGUACUGUCCUUGGGUGGGUCCUACCUUCUGGCGAAGCGGCAUGGCCUUAGUUGGUUGUGUUGGGGAACCAGGACUUUUACUGUGAAAAAAUUAGAGUGUUCAAAGCAGGCAUAAUAUGCUCGAAUACAUUAGCAUGGAAUAAUGGAAUAGGACGAUGGUUCUAUUUUGUUGGUUCUAGGACCGUUGUAAUGAUUAAUAGGGAUAGUUGGGGGCAUUAGUAUUCAAUUGUCAGAGGUGAAAUUCUUGGAUUUAUUGAAGACUAACUACUGCGAAAGCAUUUGCCAAGGAUGUUUUCAUUAAUCAAGAACGAAAGUUAGGGGAUCGAAGACGAUCAGAUACCGUCGUAGUCUUAACCAUAAACUAUGCCGACUAGGAAUCAGACGAUAUUAAUUUUUUAAUGACUCGUUUGGCAC